rnacentral:rRNA from 1 species
UACAGAGACUGCAAGCGUUAUUCGGAUUCACUGGGCGUAAAGGGUGCGCAGGCGGUCGUGUGUGUCAGAUGUGAAAUCCCGGGGCUUAACUCCGGAACUGCGUCUGAAACUGCAUGACUAGAGCAUUGGAGAGGGUAGUGGAAUUCACGGUGUAGCAGUGAAAUGCGUAGAUAUCGUGAGGAACACCAGAGGCGAAGGCGACUACCUGGACAAUUGCUGACGCUCAGGCACGAAAGCAUGGGGAGCAAAAGGG